rnacentral:ncRNA from 2 species
AGCUCGGUCUGAGGCCCCUCA